GAGUUUUUGGGCAAAAAAGGGUCGCUUAGCACGAUAUUUACUAUGAAAAGUCAUAAAGAAUAGACUGGAAGAUAUUUCAGAGAUAACUGGUUUCCCAUCUCCCAGAGUAGUCCUGAUGGUCUUGGAGACGCAGCUUCCUUCAGGAUCUGCUGUGCCGAGUAAGGACCGGAGUGGAUCGGAUUCACCCCAGGAGAGGGCAGCAGUGUGCUUGCACAAAAUCGCCCUGUCUUGCCUCUGUGGGGUCUUUCUUUUGUACCAAGAAUCGAAUUCCUAUUAAAUCAAUUUUAAAAGCA